UCAGGUUGCGUGAUGACCAGUUGCAUAGUUCAAAUGAUAAUCUUUCUUUAGAUUAUGAUUAAUUUGAACGUCUUUCGCUCCUAUCUGACAACCUUA